UAAUCUUCCCAUCAGGCCUGACAGACAGGUUCUCACUGCCAGCCAGCCAGCCAGCCAGUGGCUGCUGCUUAAUUCCAGGCAGGUGUUUCUCCUCCCGGCUCUGGGGUGCCUCCUGUGGCUCGUUGUGAAGACAUCACGCCUCUGCCUCUUCUUGGCCUUCUGGGAUGGCACCAGAGCAUAGGACGAGCACCGCCAAGAUGUCAAUCAUUUAUUUCAGCAUUUUGUUAUACACAAACAUGAAAUGCAGCAGUGAAACACAUCAUUGAUUAUUUGGACAUGCUCAAAACAAACAAACAAACAAACAAACACUAGGAAUAAUCCAGACAGGCUCAACUGAGUGUUGAGUAACAGCAGGCACUUUUAUUCACACAACUCCGGGGGAAGGUGAGCACGUUCUCAGAUCAAAGUUCCAAAGCGCAGAGGGUUGAGCCGCCUCUUAAACCAUCCUCAUUUCGUAUAAUUUGCGUAGAGUCACAUUGUCAUCGUGGCCUAGGUGGUACACACAGGUCUCAAACUCAUGAGUUCAACCACACACACACAAAUAACGUGCUCAGAAAUCAGACUUGACAGGAAAACACCUUUUUUGACCACAAUAUCUGAAGCACUUCCAUAGUUUAGGCCUCCGCACGUUACAGUUUAUCACAUAACACAUUAACAGUUUUAUUGAAGUAUUAUCAAUUUCCUACACUCACUUCCUCACUCUGAUUCUUCUCAAUCUGUUCACUCGGUGGGCUGGCGUGGAUUAGACAUUGGCUCGUUUUUUGGGGCAGGUUGUGUGUUAUGUGGUGAUUUGCACACCUUGUGUCGAUGUUUGCUUUUCUCUGAAUCUCAGUACUCCUGGACACACCCUGUGUCGAUGUUUGCUGUUCUCUGAAUCUCUGUACUCCUGGACAUUUUUGGUAUGGCGUGUUGCGUUGGCCAGAGGCCCCGGCGUGGUUGGUUCUCGGCUUGACAGCCUGGGUUACAGUCUCUCGGUUCCUCUCUGCGGAGUUCUGGCAUGCUGCUUCAGCCUGGCUGGGAUGCUGGGGAGCUGAACAUUCUGUUUCCUUUCCCCUUCACAUGGCCACACCUAAGAGGGAGAGAAAGAGAAGAGAGAGAGAGAGAAAUAAAAGUGAGAGGUAGAGGAGGAAAGGAAGAUAUGACCAAGGAGAAGAACAGAGGGGAUAGAGAGAGAGAGAGAGAGAGAGCAAGAGUCAAAAGAGUCAUCCUUGAAAAGGAUGGGGAAGUGUCUG
ensembl:lncRNA